rnacentral:rRNA from 1 species
GACGAACGCUGGCGGCGUGCCUAAUACAUGCAAGUAGAACGCUGAAGAGAGGAGCUUGCUCUUCUUGGAUGAGUUGCGAACGGGUGAGUAACGCGUAGGUAACCUGCCUUGUAGCGGGGGAUAACUAUUGGAAACGAUAGCUAAUACCGCAUAACAAUGGAUGACACAUGUCAUUUAUUUGAAAGGGGCAAUUGCUCCACUACAAGAUGGACCUGCGUUGUAUUAGCUAGUAGGUGAGGUAAUGGCUCACCUAGGCGACGAUACAUAGCCGACCUGAGAGGGUGAACGGCCACACUGGGACUGAGACACGGCCCAGACUCCUACGGGAGGCAGCAGUAGGGAAUCUUCGGCAAUGGGGGCAACCCUGACCGAGCAACGCCGCGUGAGCGAAGAAGGUUUUCGGAUCGUAAAGCUCUGUUGUAAGUCAAGAACGGGUGUGAGAGUGGAAAGUUCACACUGUGACGGUAGCUUACCAGAAAGGGACGGCUAACUACGUG